GGGGAUGUACCUCAGUGAUACAGCGCACGCUCCGCAUGUGUGAGGCCCGGGUUCAAUCCCCGGAAUCUCCA
rnacentral:tRNA from 1 species